rnacentral:rRNA from 1 species
UACGGAGGGGGCUAGCGUUGUUCGGAAUUACUGGGCGUAAAGCGCACGUAGGCGGCUUUGUAAGUUAGAGGUGAAAGCCCGGGGCUCAACUCCGGAAUUGCCUUUAAGACUGCAUCGCUAGAAUUGUGGAGAGGUAAGUGGAAUUCCCAGUGUAGCGGUGAAAUGCGUAGAUAUUGGGAGGAACACCAGUGGCGAAGGCGGCUCACUGGACCGGUUCUGACGCUGAGGCGCGAAAGCGUGGGGAGCAAACGGG